AGAGUUUGAUCAUGGCUCAGAUUGAACGCUGGCGGCAGGCCUAACACAUGCAAGUCGAACGGUAACAGAAAGCAGCUUGCUGCUUUGCUGACGAGUGGCGGACGGGUGAGUAAUGUCUGGGAAACUGCCCGAUGGAGGGGGAUAACUACUGGAAACGGUAGCUAAUACCGCAUAACGUCGCAAGACCAAAGAGGGGGACCUUAGGGCCUCUUGCCAUCGGAUGUGCCCAGAUGGGAUUAGCUAGUAGGUGGGGUAACGGCUCACCUAGGCGACGAUCCCUAGCUGGUCUGAGAGGAUGACCAGCCACACUGGAACUGAGACACGGUCCAGACUCCUACGGGAGGCAGCAGUGGGGAAUAUUGCACAAUGGGCGCAAGCCUGAUGCAGCCAUGCCGCGUGUAUGAAGAAGGCCUUCGGGUUGUAAAGUACUUUCAGCGGGGAGGAAGGGAGUAAAGUUAAUACCUUUGCUCAUUGACGUUACCCGCAGAAGAAGCACCGGCUAACUCCGUGCCAGCAGCCGCGGUAAUACGGAGGGUGCAAGCGUUAAUCGGAAUUACUGGGCGUAAAGCGCACGCAGGCGGUUUGUUAAGUCAGAUGUGAAAUCCCCGGGCUCAACCUGGGAACUGCAUCUGAUACUGGCAAGCUUGAGUCUCGUAGAGGGGGGUAGAAUUCCAGGUGUAGCGGUGAAAUGCGUAGAGAUCUGGAGGAAUACCGGUGGCGAAGGCGGCCCCCUGGACGAAGACUGACGCUCAGGUGCGAAAGCGUGGGAGCAAACAGGAUUAGAUACCCUGGUAGUCCAC
rnacentral:rRNA from 1 species